rnacentral:tmRNA from 1 species
GGGGGCGACCUGGCUUCGACGUGGGUUGCAAAGCUUGAGGGGCAUGUCGAGGAGGUAACUAACCUCGUAAAAAAAGUUGCAAACUUAUAGUUGCAAACAAAAAACGCAACUACGUUAAUGACAGUUCCUUCGCCGAUGCCGGCGCGGUUGCUGUUGCUGCCUAGUAAGGUAGCAUAACGUCAUCUCACCGGUUGUGCUUAUGCGACCGGAUUUACGCAAGUAAAUAGAGGUGUCAUAUUACAUAAGAUCGUAAUUUUAUCUGCCCGAGAUGAAAUUAUUAAAACCCUUAGGGCUAGUUUCAUAUCACCUUGCCUGUCAGGGGGUAUGCUGCGAAAUUAAAUGAUAAGGCUAAACAUGUAGAUCCAAAGGUAGAGGACUUGCGGACGCGGGUUCGAUUCCCGCCGCCUCCACCA